GCUGGGAUUAGCAGGGAUUUGGUUGAUGUAGCACAACCUUGACGCUGAACUGUGAAAUAGUUUUCUGCAACAUUCCAAACGAGCUGUCUGUCAGUUCCCUCUGAUUCUGACAGACAAUUAUUAAUGUGCGCUUCCAUGAUGGCAGUCUGACAGAGAACUGUACCCCUGAAAAAAUAGGUGAAAAGGAAAACAGGCUUUCUCAAUCAGGAAAUGAAGAGUCAUAUGCAGAUUAUGAACACGCAACUGUUCCCAUGACUACAUGGCCGUCUUCAGCACUAGACGAUGAAUCCUUCAUCUGUAUCUGGUCCAUCCAAACAAUGGGACUUGUUCUUGUCAGUUGGAUUUCUCUGAAUUCGUUACAGGACGUUUUGUGCUACUUUGCUUGCAUGUCUAUGGAAACUGCUAACUUCUCUAUUGUAAUUUGUCACAAAUGUUGUUUUUUUCUAUUAAAGGGGAAAAAAGUGCA